rnacentral:misc_RNA from 1 species
CUCCUCCUGCCUUCCGCGCCUUCAUCAACAACAUCUCUGAGUAUGUCCGCUACGGCCUCUCCCAGCGUCGCCCCUGGGCUGAACUCGUUGACCGCAACAGCUUCUCCAAACCUGAAUCCCUCUCUGAGGCUGCCCUCCGUGUCCGCAAGAAUUAUACCUACUUUCGCGUCAAUUACUUAACCAUUAUCGUCCUCAUCUUGGCUUUCUCUUUGCUUUCAAAUCCCUUGUCGCUCUUCCUCCUCCUUGGACUCCUCGCCUCCUGGCUGUUUCUCUAUUUCUUCCGUCCUUCCGAUCGGCCUUUGGUCCUCUUCGGCCGUACCUUUACGGAUUUUGAGACCCUCGGGUUGCUCAUUGUGUUUAGCGUGGUCGUGGUUUUCCUCACUAGCGUUGGAUCUUUGCUUAUCUCUGCUCUUUUGGUAGGAUUAGCCAUUGUUUUCGCUCAUGGUUCGUUUAGGGUCCCUGAGGAUCUUUUCUUGGAUGAGCAAGAGCCUGC